rnacentral:snRNA from 1 species
ACACGAUCUAAGCCUUCUGGCUUAGAUCGUAUGGAGACAUCUGCUCUUCUCAGCUUAAUAUCUGAUACGGACCUAAUUAGUGCAAGAAAUCAUCCUUAUUUUUGAAAAUGGUGUACCUUCAGAGCUUGCUUCGAAGACGCUAGGGUUAGCCCAGUAUUGCACUACCUCCGGGACUGGCUCAUCCCCC